GAUGAACGCUGGCGGCGUGCCUAAUACAUGCAAGUCGAGCGAAUGGAUUAAGAGCUUGCUCUUAUGAAGUUAGCGGCGGACGGGUGAGUAACACGUGGGUAACCUGCCCAUAAGACUGGGAUAACUCCGGGAAACCGGGGCUAAUACCGGAUAACAUUUUGAACCGCAUGGUUCGAAAUUGAAAGGCGGCUUCGGCUGUCACUUAUGGAUGGACCCGCGUCGCAUUAGCUAGUUGGUGAGGUAACGGCUCACCAAGGCAACGAUGCGUAGCCGGCCUGAGAGGGGGAGCGGCCACACUGGGACGGAGACACGGCCCAGACUCCUACGGGAGGCAGCAGUAGGGAAUCUUCCGCAAUGGACGAAAGUCUGACGGAGCAACGCCGCGUGAGUGAUGAAGGCUUUCGGGUCGUAAAACUCUGUUGUUAGGGAAGAACAAGUGCUAGUUGAAUAAGCUGGCACCUUGACGGUACCUAACCAGAAUGCCACGGCUAACUACGUGCCAGCAGCCGCCGUAA
rnacentral:rRNA from 1 species